rnacentral:rRNA from 1 species
GAUGAACGCUGGCGGCGUGCCUAAUACAUGCAAGUCGAGCGAAUGGAUUAAGAGCUUGCUCUUAUGAAGUUAGCGGCGGACGGGUGAGUAACACGUGGGUAACCUGCCCAUAAGACUGGGAUAACUCCGGGAAACCGGGGCUAAUACCGGAUAACAUUUUGAACCGCAUGGUUCGAAAUUGAAAGGCGGCUUCGGCUGUCACUUAUGGAUGGACCCGCGUCGCAUUAGCUAGUUGGUGAGGUAACGGCUCACCAAGGCAACGAUGCGUAGCCGACCUGAGAGGGUGAUCGGCCACACUGGGACUGAGACACGGCCCAGACUCCUACGGGAGGCAGCAGUAGGGAAUCUUCCGCAAUGGACGAAAGUCUGACGGAGCAACGCCGCGUGAGUGAUGAAGGCUUUCGGGUCGUAAAACUCUGUUGUUAGGGAAGAACAAGUGCUAGUUGAAUAAGCUGGCACCUUGACGGUACCUAACCAGAAAGCCACGGCUAACUACGUGCCAGCCGCCGCCGUAACAC